ensembl:lncRNA
GUAAGUAUAGGCACAGAAAAUCACUCCAGCUCCUUGCUGCUGCCGCACUCUGUGGUGUCGCUGUGCUGCAGUACACAGCAGCUCAACUUUGCAUAACAAGAAAUCAUCGCAUUAUGUUCUUUAUGGUACCAUGCACGGAGUCUGUGUUUGUUUUAAGGAUGGAGAGGGUGCGUAAUAGCAGCUCCAGGCUGAUAACACGCUGCCACGUCGCACCCAGGCACAAACUCCCAGCACAGCUACUCACCAGCCAAAAGGGUUUUGACAUUGGCUCUUCAAACUUAGAAGCGUUGAAACACUGGAAGGAAAACAAGUGCUGAGCUGAAAAAUGUGGUUCUGACGCAGUCAGUCAAGCCAGCAGACCCUGGGCUGGGAAUAGUUCCUCAGCCUGGUCCCUUCCCACCACCGGCAGUCCCUCUUCCUGUGCAUCCAAGGAGAUGCUCCUUGCAGGCAGCCAACCCUCUUAUCACUGCUGACACCACACUCAUGGACUGCAUGUUUACCAGCGUGGAGUGCUGGCAGGAGUGAAAACUCCAGGCAUUGAAUCUGGAUUGACCGGGCUGUAAUUCCCUCGAUCCCUUUUCUUAAGGAUAAGCACUCUUCUCCCUUCCUCAUCCUCUGGGACACCCAGGAGCUCUUGAAGAUAAUCACCGAUGUCAGUGAUUGCUGCCGCCUGUUCCCACGUUCGCCUGGGUCUGCACACAGGAUUACCUGCUCAGCUGAAGCUCCUUGGUGCUUUUCUAAUCCAGAGCUGUAUGCCUCCUCUCUGCACUCCCCUUCUUCAGCCCACUGCAAUCCUGAGCACUGCCUUGUGCUCUUCUGCCCCAGAACUGAGAGGCACAACAUCCAAAGCAGCUGCGGGAAACAGGGCAGAGCUCUCCCGUUCACGCAGACUGAGCAACUCAUCCUCCACAGAUGGAUCCUGGGGGUUUCAAUGCUGGGAAGGAAUGGGAGGACCCCAGCACCCCGCUGCUCCACGUGUGACCCCCCAGCUCCCACCUCUGGGUCCAUGGCAGCGAGCACACUGCUGGGCAAGGAGAUUCCAGGGCUUCCUCAAUUCCAAGAGGAUUUCCCAAGCCCAGGAAAGUAUGUUAAUAUCAAGGGAGGAAAGAACAGUCUAUGAAUGCCAGUGAUCACAACUGACCACUGACAACAGGAGGUGAUGCAUCUCAGUCUCUUGUUCUUAUUCUUAUUUUUGCAGCACUCUGACCACUACGCCUUCUUAGCAGCUACCAUUUCAAAAGAUGCAGCUCUGAAGUCCUGGAGGAAUUAUUACAUGUACAACUUAAUUAGUAUUUAAAUGGGUACCAUAUGUCUUAUUGAUUUGAUAGUGUAGUUGUUUCCAAUAGAUCAGGCAAAAAAUAAGGAAAUAAAUGUCAAUAGCUGCAAGUAGGAGUUCCGGCAGGAAGAAAGGAGCCUUAAAAGUGCCUGGUUCAAGAACCUGUGCAAAUCUGAGCUGCAAAUGGAGUGGGAGCACAGUGUAAUUUUAGUGCUCCUUUUCACACUGCAACAGCAACCGGCAGCGAUUACUUUUGGCAUUUUCCUGCAUAAUGAUGUGUUGGUGAUGAAGCAUUGAAGUAAAUAUCUUACGAGAUUUUUUUUUUUAAUUACUUUCUUGGCAGAGAUUGCUAAAGCACCAAGGAACUUUUGCAAAUUUUCCCUUAAUGGGACAAAUGAGUGAUUAUAGAACAUGUCUUUUAAAUACAAAGUGUAUUUUUGGCUUCUUUGAUUGGUACAAAACCAAGAUCCUGUGCAGCAAUCUCAGUUUCAAUGACACACAAAGAAUAAUAGUUUUGAAAAUAGGCCACACAUAAUAAUAUGAAUUAAAAACCCCCACCAUUAAAAAAAAAAUAAAGAUCAUUAUCCACACACUGUAACCAAGUAAGCAAGCAGGUACCUUAAUGACUAGCCUGCUGUAUAGAGGUUUACAGCAGCUAGAAGUUAUCCUUUUUCUCUGUCAAAUUUGCUCUCCAUUGAACAGAUCUUCAUUGCUUAACUCUUGUGUCCAAAACUCCCUUGACUUUACUGAAGUUAAUCACAAUACACAUUCCUAUAUCUGAAGAGUAAGUAAAUUUUAGAUAUGGUUUAUUACUGAAGAUAGAACAGGAUCUUUUGAGAUGAAAGCUGAUGAAUAGUCAACACAUAUAAUAUUUACUCUGUAUUCAAACCAGAAAUCUGGCUGGGAGCUCUUUCCAUUCCAGUCAAACAGAGGGAUAACACAGUGCCAUUCUUGCAUCUCCUAGUUUCGAAAGCCAGCUGCCCAGGCAAAGCACCACUACUGACUUUUGUUUGAAAAAGGAAGAAAUGAGCCAAAUAAUUCAGAAAAUAAUUUCGAAAUAAUUACUGCAUCCAAAAGGAGUGACCCUGCACAACAUAGAGAGCAUGAAGAGGUGAAAGUCAUUGAUUACAGCAUUCUCCCCCAUUUGCCACACGAUAUAUGGUGCUGAUACAUAACUUUUAAGGUGUAAAGAGGAUGAUAAACAUUUUCCAGUUGGCUUUUCCUUAUGACAUAGCCUGCAGACCUGCAGCAGGGCAGGUUUCUGCUCUCAGCUUUGAUGUAUGGCACUUUGCACAUCAUCUGACACUGAGCAUUGCAGAUUUGAUAGAGUGCUACAAAUUUCUCCCAGUGUAUAAUCAACUGUUAUUAUUGCAGUUCUAGCCUUUAUCGGAUUAAUUUGAUGGCCUUGUGCUGAUAUUUUCUGUGCAGAUUUCUCAUACAUAUUUGGUGUUGAAUAUAUACACUUCUUCCAAACAGAAUGUCAGAAAGGGAAAGCGGGAGCAUAGAUCUCUGCUGGCAAUUUUCCUAAGCUUUGCUUGAAACAACCAAGUAUAGCAACAUAAAUUUACUUAGGCACUGUACUCAGCAGCGAAAUUCCGAGUGUGGCCGAUAGCGACUGGGGCACGACUUGCUUUUCUGCAUCAUUCCAGGAGGGGCAGCGGAUGCAAAGUAAGCUGUGUUGGUUUGGCGUGCCUCAAACAGUUCAUUCUCUUUGUUAGCUGGCAAGAAGAUUAAAUAACACCUCAAAAAACCAUUUAAACAUGCACAGUAAGAUAUCUUAAAACAUCCAUCAAAACAUGAGUCAUUUCCUGAGAAGAACAUCACCCACUGCCUGUGGAAGUGGCACAGCUCCGACCCCUCUGCCCCACAGCAGAGCAGGAUAGGCCCCGGCCCCCAGUGUGCUCCAGUCCAGCUCAGCAGUGCCUGCAGAGCCCCCAGCACUGCCCCUGCUCAGCUCAGCUCAUGUUGUGUCACACAGCGUAGGUGUGAGUGCUGACACUUCUCCACCAGGAAUGGUUUCUAGCUUGGACCAACAGAAUGAGUUCUGUUCAUUUGUAGCCUGUGAUUGCAGAAGUCACUGGCACAUAAAGCAGAGGUGGGGAAAAGUGUUCUUACACCAAAGAGAAGCUAUGUAAGUGAGCUUCUUGCAGCAUGUCUGCUUCCUUUUAUUAGAGUAUUUACUAUUAACUUUAUCCCCCAGUGGCCAAUUACUGUUCUUUUUAUUUCUUUUUAUUGUGAGACUCAGAGGAUGCUGCGAACAAACCUCUUCUGAUAUUCCUCAGCAAUUACUGCUGUGGUUAUACCUCUCUCUUCUCCACUCUGAGUGCCAGCACAGCCCCACAGAAUGUCUGCAUGUCUGCAUCCCAGCAUUAACCCCACCUCAGCCUGCCCUCCCUUCAGCUGGGUUUAAGCCAACAAAACUCUUGCUCCAGCUGCUGCUGCUGCACCUACUCACACCAGCCUCAAUACCAUAAAAAUGUGCUCCAGAGGGUGCUGCUGGAGAGAAGCUUUAUCCAGCACUGAUGUCAAUCCACAGGGAUCACGAUGCCCCAUUCCAAACAGAUCACCCUGAAAACCUGUCCUGGCUGCAGCAAGAAAUUUGUUGCAGUUUCACUGUUCCACAGAAGAUGAGUGGAAGUGAUGCGUUCUGGAUGCUCUCAUAGGUGACACUGCCAGUUGGGUGUUCAUUGAUCAUCAUCACUGUCAACGUUAUUAUAGGGGUGGCUCCUCUUCAGCAAUUCAGCCAGUCCAACCCACGAGGACUGCAUGAGAAAUGAAUCGCACAGGGCUGUGAGAUGCAUGUGACAGAACACUUAUCUGAGACUUGUGUUCCUGUGAAAAGCUAAACUGCAUUACACAGGAGAGCAGCAGGAGGCCACCUCGCUUUAAGUGAUACGGCUUAAAUACAGACGCCAGAAAUAAGCACAUUCAAGAGCUGGUUUGGCAAAUCCACUCUAACCUCACUCUACUCUAUAUUCAUGUAUAUAUUUUUUUAAUUCAAAUUUUGACCUUGGCUACAAUGUUUUCUGCAUAAAUACAAUGUAAAGACAUGCAUAUACAUAAAGGAAAACAUAAAGCACUGCAGCUAGCUGUUUGUCUGCUUCAGCUUGCGCUAUGGUGUUUAUUAACUGCUAUUUCCACUUCUUACUGUAUUUUCUUAGGAAAAAAAUAAUUGUUGUUAGCCAGGACUCCAACACAGAUAAAGAAGACAGUGCCCAACCUAAGGAAGCCUUGCAUAUCACCAUAGUUACCCAACAAGAUCAUGUGCUCAGUGAGUCUUCCUGCUAUUGAUGAGGCAGUGACACUGUGCAGUGAAGCACCUUGAGUUCUUAACACGUGCUUACAAACUAUUCAUGUUCAAAACAAAACAUGUGAAAAAUGAUUAAAAAAAAGAGACUUUGUAGACAUGAAAGCAUUUUCUAUUAUGAAGUAUUCAGCUUUUAAAAAGUGUCUGUAAUUUCAUGUGUUCACAGAUGGCAGGAGG